CCAAGGGCUUAAGAGGGUGCCUUUUUGAAAAGGUACCAGGGUCACCUUCUUUUAGUUGAAACUGUCAGUCAAUUAAUGAAAUCACUACUAACAAAUGUUUUUGAAAAUGAUGUGCUCCCUCUUUUCAGACUCCUUCAUCUUCAUGCACAGACACCUUGUCACUAUCAUCACACUCACCAGAGAGUGAUACUUUUCUGAUGUCUCCAAAAAGACAGCACAUUGAUGACACCUUUCUGAUGUCUCCAAAAAGACCAUGCAUUGAUGAUGACAGUUCUUCACAGGCCAAAGAGCUUGUCAAGAGAGUUCUGGAACAAAAGCCUGGAGGGGAGAAAAUACUUAAAGAAUAUGCAACUAAAGGAGAGAUGAAGGAUCGAACACACCGUGAACUUGUCAACAUUGUUGUCGCUGAUAUGUUGGAAAAGUAUGGAAGUGCUCCGCCAAAAGAACACAAUAUGCAUUGGGGAUUGUAACACUGUUCCCUGCUCUGAAAGAUCCUUAUUUGAAAAAGGGCUAUGUGAGUAUAUAUUUUACUGAGAAGUUUACCAACCUUUCAAAUUAUAAUAAUAGACAGAUAUUUGUAACAGGAUAUAUUCAUACAACUAUGGCUUUCUAGAGAGAAAAAAAUCGACCAACCAGAAUCAACUUAGAGCAGACUGGAAAUGGAAUUGGUCUCAAGAAACUCUUGUGUGGACUAUAAAUUCCUGAAGUGUUAACAAUUUACCUCAAAAGUGUUGGGUGUACACCAGUCAUAGAGUACAUUCUCACUCUCAGUGUUAAAUAAUCAGCUCUGCAAAGUGCUACAAAUUACUUACUUAGAGUAUAUAUUUUACUCUCUGGGAGUUCUAGGUUUACACUGCAAGUGUCAAAAAGCACUGAAGUAGUGUCUAAAAGUACCAGUGACAGAGUAAAAUUGCACUCUCAGAGGGUUCAAAUGUAACUCUUUAUCUGGAGUAUAUGUUUUACACUUUUGAUGGUGUUCAGUGAACACCGAACUCUUGGACCUAUAUGUUGGAAUAAUUGUAUAUAUGGAUUUAUCUCAUAUUUAUUAACUAACCAUGUAUCCUGCUUUACAGCCCUAUGAUCAUGCAUACAGUUUGUCUUUUGAUAAUAACCAUGCAUAUAGUUUGUCUUGUGAUGAAGUUGUUUUGCAGGUAGUAGCUGCUGGAGGAGAUCACAAGCUGUCACGAUGCAUAGGGCAGACUGAAACCAGUCUGUUCUACUUCUAUAUCAUGGGAUGAACAUUUGAACUAUGUAUCAUCAGGCUCCCAUCAUAUUACUUUUGUGUGAUUCUCAGUUCUUUAAGAUAAGCAAUGACUUGUAACUAAAGAAUGCUUGGAAUGCCUUAUGUGAUAAUAAAAAGAGAGGAGACGGUGGAAUAUGCUCAGAGCGGGUUGGAGAUUGUAACUGAGCAUAUCUCUGUCCGUCGAGUAAGAAAUAACGCUCUUCUCUUUCUCUUCUUUGUGUCAGUAUUAAAUGUCUUAGGUGGUGUAAACCUGACAUUAACUUGGUCCUUCGAGCCGGAUACCAAUAGACCUGAGGAUUCCAGCGGGAGGGUGGACUCCAGGAAAGACUGUGGCCACAGCAGAGCUCCAUAGUGUGAGCUCUUGAAAUCCUUUUCCAGGACUGGAUGUUUACCCGCCAGCUGGGAUCUGAUGGUUGACGGUAUUCCGAGAGGGGAAGGACAACAGCGGUGAGUACAGUUUUGUUAAAAACAAGCGAGUGACUAAGGGUCAUUGCGCGUUGUAACAAACCCUGUAAAUCCUAGGCUCUGACAGGUAAAA